rnacentral:rRNA from 1 species
UACAGAGGGGGCAAGCGUUGUUCGGAAUUACUGGGCGUAAAGGGCGCGUAGGCGGCCUGUUAAGUCAGACGUGAAAUCCCUCGGCUCAACCGGGGAACUGCGUCCGAUACUGGCGGGCUUGAAUCCGGGAGAGGGAUGCGGAAUUCCAGGUGUAGCGGUGAAAUGCGUAGAUAUCUGGAGGAACACCGGUGGCGAAGGCGGCAUCCUGGACCGGCAUUGACGCUGAGGCGCGAAAGCCAGGGGAGCGAACGGG